AUUGAACGCUGGCGGCAGGCCUAACACAUGCAAGUCGAGCGAGCGGCGGACGGGUGAGUAAUGUCUGGGAAACUGCCUGAUGGAGGGGGAUAACUACUGGAAACGGUAGCUAAUACCGCAUACCAUCAGAUAUGCCCAGAUGGGAAUAGCUGGUAGGUUGGUUAACGGCUCAACUAGGCGACGAUCCCUAGCUGGUCUGAGAGGAUGACCAGCCAUACUGGAAAGGAGACACGGUCCAGACUCCUACGGGAGGCAGCAGGGGUGAAUAUUGCACAACGGGGGCAAGCCGGAUGCAGCCAUGACGCGUGUGUGAAGAAGGCCUUAGGGUUGUAAAGUACUGUUAGCGGGGAGGCGUUACCCGCAGAAGAAGCACCGGCUAACUCCGUGCCAGCAGUCGCGGUAAUAC
rnacentral:rRNA from 1 species